UGCACAAUGACCUGCGGGUUUAAUUGCCGCGGUACCCUGACCGUGCUAAGGUAGCGUAAUCACUAGCCUAUUAAUUGUUGGCCCGUAUGAAUGGCACGACGCUGGUGACGCUGUCUCUGUGGCGUUCUAUUGAAAUUAACUUUUUGGUGAAAAGGCCAAAAUACCCCUAAAAGACGAUAAGACCCUGUCGAACUUUAGGCCAACUGCCGGCGGCUGGUCCGCCGGAGUAACCUUUGGUUGGGGAAACCGAGGACCAAAAAAAGCGUCCGUCCGUAUGCUGCUUAAGCCGAAGGGUUAAUAAUCAUAAGUAGGAUAAAUUGAUCUGACGGGAUAAGAGUUAUUUAGGUUGAUCCGGAGGUUAGCUUCGACUAUGGGAAAAGUUACCGCAGGGAUAACAGCGUAAUUCCCCCGGAGAGACCACAUUAAUGGGGGGGUUUGCGACCUCGAUGUUGGCUUGGGGGGUCCCGGGAGUGCAGGAGCUCCCAAAGGUUGGUCUG
rnacentral:rRNA from 1 species